CAUCAGAUGGCUGAAAGUAAGUAAUGGUCUCUUAAACCAAAGAAUAGUAAAUUAACUACUUCUGAUGG
rnacentral:tRNA from 1 species